rnacentral:rRNA from 1 species
UACGGAGGGUGCAAGCGUUGUCCGGAAUUAUUGGGCGUAAAGAGCUCGUAGGCGGUUUGUCGCGUCUGCUGUGAAAACCCGAGGCUCAACCUCGGGCCUGCAGUGGGUACGGGCAGACUAGAGUGCGGUAGGGGAGAUUGGAAUUCCUGGUGUAGCGGUGGAAUGCGCAGAUAUCAGGAGGAACACCAAUGGCGAAGGCAGAUCUCUGGGCCGUAACUGACGCUGAGGAGCGAAAGCAUGGGGAGCGAACAGG